rnacentral:rRNA from 1 species
CACGUAGGCACCAAGCGUUGUCCGGAUUUAUUGGGCGUAAAGAGCUCGUAGGCGGUUCGGUAAGUCGGGUGUGAAAACUUUGGGCUCAACCCAAAGCCUGCACUCGAUACUGCUGUGACUUGAGUCCGGUAGGGGAGUGGGGAAUUCCUGGUGUAGCGGUGGAAUGCGCAGAUAUCAGGAGGAACACCGGUGGCGAAGGCGACUUCCUGGCCUGUUCUUGACGCUGAGGCGCGAAAGCUAGGGGAGCAAACGGG